GACGAACGCUGGCGGCGUGCCUAAUACAUGCAAGUAGAACGCUGAAGAGAGGAGCUUGCUCUUCUUGGAUGAGUUGCGAACGGGUGAGUAACGCGUAGGUAACCUGCCUUGUAGCGGGGGAUAACUAUUGGAAACGAUAGCUAAUACCGCAUAACAAUGGAUGACACAUGUCAUUUAUUUGAAAGGGGCAAUUGCUCCACUACAAGAUGGACCUGCGUUGUAUUAGCUAGUAGGUGAGGUAAUGGCUCACCUAGGCGACGAUACAUAGCCGACCUGAGAGGGUGAUCGGCCACACUGGGACUGAGACACGGCCCAGACUCCUACGGGAGGCAGCAGUAGGGAAUCUUCGGCAAUGGGGGCAACCCUGACCGAGCAACGCCGCGUGAGUGAAGAAGGCUUUCGGAUCGUAAAGCUCUGUUGUAAGUCAAGAACGGGUGUGAGAGUGGAAAGUUCACACUGUGACGGUAGCUUACCAGAAAGGGACGGCUAACUACGUG
rnacentral:rRNA from 1 species